ensembl:snRNA U6 U6 spliceosomal RNA
UUGUCAUGUCAGCAGCACAGGUACCAAAACUGGAAUGAUACAGAGAACAUCAGCAUGGCUCCUGCACAGAAAUUCGUGAAGUGUUCCGUGUUUUU